rnacentral:lncRNA from 1 species
AUGAACAUAAUGAGAAAAAAAGUUUUAUUCUUACUGAGUUCAGCCAGUGUUAAACCCUUCCUAAACCAUUGUAUUGCUCUACAGGUGUUGUGGUUUCUACAGGCACGUGGCUAUAACCAUAGGUAUUUGAGGUCUGUUACCCAUCUUGACAUCACUGCUGCAGCUGUUGACUCCUCCCACCCACCGCCUACCUCCCAUCCACACUGUGAUUAUUCUUGGCUGAACACUAAACAAACUACAGGCCCGUCUGUAGCAGUGAAAUCUAUCUGCAAGAGAUCCAUUUACUUUGAACAGUCAACCAUAAAUACAGC